GCAGACACAUUCCAGCCAAUCAGCAGCAGACCCUCCCUCCCAGACCCUCCCACCUCCUGGACAGCAUCCAUUUUGAAGCUGCAUUCUUAGUGAGCUGUCCAGGAGGUGGGAGGGUCUGGGAGAGAGGGUCUGCUGCUGAUUGGCUGGAAUGCAUCUG
rnacentral:miRNA from 1 species